GCGCUGGUGGUGUAAGGCGUAGUACCGCUGCCCGAAAAGCAGAAGGUGCGGGUUCGAGUCCCGCUUGGCGCA
rnacentral:tRNA from 1 species